AGUCGAGCGCGAAGGGAGCAUCCUGAGUAAAGCGGCGAAAGGGUGAGUAACACGUGGUUAACCUGCCUGGAUGUGGGGGAUACCCCGGGGAAACUCGGGACAAUACCGCAAGAUGUCUCUCGGGCGUCGGCCCGGGAGAGCAAAGCCGGGGACCGCARGGCCUGGCGCAUCCAAAGGGGACCGCGGCCGAUUAGCUAGUUGGCGGGGUAACGGCCCACCAAGGCGACGAUCGGAAGCCGGCCUGAGAGGGUGAUCGGCCACACCGGAACUGAGACACGGUCCGAACUCCUACGGGAGGCAGCCC
rnacentral:rRNA from 1 species